rnacentral:rRNA from 1 species
CGGAUUAGUGGCGAACGGGUGAGUAACAUAUCGGAACGUACCCAGUAAUGGGGGAUAACUAGUCGAAAGACUGGCUAAUACCGCAUACGCCCUGAGGGGGAAAGCGGGGGGAUCGAAAGACCUCGUGUUAUUGGAGCGGCCGAUAUCUGAUUAGCUAGUUGGUGGGGUAAAGGCCUACCAAGGCGACGAUCAGUAGCUGGUCUGAGAGGACGACCAGCCACACUGGAACUGAGGCACGGUCCAG